ACAAGGUUUCCGUAGGUGAACCUGCGGAAGGAUCAUUAUUGAAUAUUCUCGAUGGGUUGUAGCUGGCUCCUCGGAGCAUGUGCACGCCUGUCUUGACCCUAUUCAUCCACCUGUGCACCUAUUGUAGUCUCAUUCGAGGGGUUGUCGGUCGCAAGGCCGGAUGUGAGGGGGAAUGCAGCGUGAAAGCGUAGCUUCCCUCUGAAGUUGGCCCUUCGGUGGACUAUGUCUUUUUUCACAAACCAUGUAGCAUGUUGCAGAAUGUAUUCAAUGGGCCAUUGUGCCUAUAAAACCUUAUACAACUUUCAGCAACGGAUCUCUUGGCUCUCGCAUCGAUGAAGAACGCAGCGAAAUGCGAUAAGUAAUGUGAAUUGCAGAAUUCAGUGAAUCAUCGAAUCUUUGAACGCACCUUGCGCUCCUUGGUAUUCCGAGGAGCAUGCCUGUUUGAGUGUCAGUAAAUUCUCAACCCCACCAGCUUUUGUAAGCUGGCACUUGGGGAUUGGAUGUGGAGGUCUUGCAGGCCUUUUGUUAGGUCGGCUCCUCUGAAAUGCAUUAGCGGAACCGUUUGCGAUCCGUCACAGGUGUGAUAAUUAUCUACACCAGUGGGUUGCUCYCCGUCUGUUCAGCUUCCAACYGUCCCUCGGGACAAACAUACUGAACCUUUGACCUCAAAUCACGUAGGACUACCCGCUGAACUUAAGCAUA
rnacentral:rRNA from 1 species